AAGGGUAGCAAUACCUGAGUACAGUGGCGCACGGGUGAGUAACACGUGAAUAAUCUACCUCCGAGUGGGGAAUAACUUAGGGAAACCUGAGCUAAUACCGCAUAACACUUACGAGUCAAAGCAGCAAUGCGCUUGGAGAGGAGUUCGCGGCAGAUUAGCUAGUUGGCGGGGUAAUGGCCCACCAAGGCGAUGAUCUGUAUCCGGCCUGAGAGGGCGCACGGACACACUGGAACUGAAACACGGUCCAGACUCCUACGGGAGGCAGCAGUGGGGAAUUUUGCGCAAUGGGGGAAACCCUGACGCAGCAACGCCGCGUGGAGGAUGAAAUCCCUUGGGAUGUAAACUCCUUUCGAUCGGGACGAUUAUGACGGUACCGGAAGAAGAAGCCCCGGCUAACUCCGUGCCAGCAGCCGCGGUAAUACGGGGGGGGCAAGCGUUGUUCGGAAUUACUGGGCGUAAAGGGCUCGUAGGUGGCCAACUAAGUCAGACGUGAAAUCCCUCGGCUUAACCGGGGAACUGCGUCUGAUACUGGAUGGCUUGAGAUUGGGAGAGGGAUGCGGAAUUCCAGGUGUAGCGGUGAAAUGCGUAGAUAUCUGGAGGAACACCGGUGGCGAAGGCGGCAUCCUGGACCAACACUGACACUGAUGCGCGAAAGCCAGGGGAGCGAACGGGAUUAGAUACCCCGGUAGUCCUGGCCUUAAACGAUGGAUGCUUGGUGUCUGGGGU
rnacentral:rRNA from 1 species